UACGUAGGGGGCGAGCGUUGUCCGGAAUUAUUGGGCGUAAAGAGCGUGUAGGCGGUUCGGUAAGUCUGUCGUGAAAACCUGGGGCCUCAACCCCAGGCGUGCGGUGGAUGCUGCCGGGCUAGAGGAUGGUAGAGGCGAGUGGAAUUCCCGGUGUAGCGGUGAAAUGCGCAGAUAUCAGGAGGAACACCAAUGGCGAAGGCAGCUCGCUGGGACGGUACUGACGCUGAGGCGCGAAAGCGUGGGGAGCAAACGGG
rnacentral:rRNA from 1 species